GCCCCUAUAGACUAAUGGUAAGUCACCUAGCUACGUUGGAGGUUGUAUUUAUUAUCUUGACUCUGGGAGAUGAGGGUUCAAAUCCUUCUUGGGGUA